CCGGCUAGUCUAGGGACCCGCGGGGGCUGCCCGCGGGCGGCGCGUGGAGGGCGACGCCUGAUCGCCGCCACGGUUCCAGUCCCGUGUCCCUGUGGCUGCGCAGGGCGGAGCGCCAGGGGUGGGAAUUGUGUGGGGAUCGAAGGGAGCGGAGAGUGAGGGACCCUAAAGGAGAGAAGAGCGGAGAGGACAUGGAGAGCAGACGGGAGGACCGAAGAAGAGAGUGGAGGAUCCCGAGAAAAAAAGUGCAGAAGAGAGAAGAACCUUAGUAAAAAGAGUGGGGACCCGGAAGAGAGCUGGGGCGGAGAGGGAACACAGCUGUGUUCUCUGCCCUCUCAUGAGCUUGGCAGAAUUCUUUCCUAAGAGGAUAACUCAGACAUUUUCCAAGGGUUCGUCCAGGUUUCUCCAUCCUGAGAAAAUUCAAGACAUCUCACUGAUGAGCUCAGUGGUAACAGGCACUACAGGGCUGACCCUGAGACAAGAGUUCUGAUAAAUACAAUUGCGUCCAUGAACGGUAAAGGAUCUUUUGGCUGCUCAUUAUGGAGCUCAGUCUGGCCUGGAACUCAGCUCCUUUCUCAGCCCCCUGGAAACCCAGGUGGCAUACUUGCUGUUUUCUGGGAAGUUUAGGAAGACCUAUGCUCUCUCUGCCCAUCAUCUGACAGCCAGCCAGAUUGAAGGAUGGAUGUCACGGGGCCCUGGACCACAUGGGCCACAGUUCAUAAAUGCUCCCAUUACAUCUUGUACAGAUGAUGGGUCUGUGGUCGUGAGAACUCAGGAUCACCAGGAAAGACAGCAGCUUCAUCCUGAGGCUCUAAAACCUGAAGACGGUCUAAGGCAAACGCAACAAGGGUAGUAGUGCUUGAUGCAAAGGCUUUGAAGCCAGGCUGGGCCUUUCUCUCUGCCUGGGGUUGGUGGCAUGUGUGCUGAAGAUGUGACACAUUGAAGCAGGUUGGAACCAAGUGAUCUGCCAGAGCGUGCUGGGGUGGGCUAUGAUGACUGGACAGGACAAGUGUGUACAGUAACAUGUAUGUGGAGGUCAGAGUACAACUUUGGGUGUCGUUCCUCACCUUACACCUGGAGACAGGGUCUCUUGUUUGACACUGCUAACUUAGGCUGGGCUAGCUGGUUUGUAAGCGUCCAGUAAUUCUCAUCUCUGCUUCCUGUCUUGCAUAAGGCACACAGGACUACAGCGGUAAACUACUGCAUCUGGCAUUACACGGGUCCUGGGGGUCUGAACUCAGGUCCUACCACUUGCACGGCAAGCAUCUUACCUACUAAGCCAUACAGAGCUCAUCACUUACCCUGCAUUCCUGUGCCUCCAGAGACUCCCUCAUUCCUGCUGCCAGGAGGACACUGGUCUAAAAGUACUCACUAUGAAGUGAACAUCACUGCCUGAUGAACCCCUAGAAUGGCCCCCAAGGAGCCAUCCAGAAAGGCCCUCAAGUCUCCUGUAUUCCCCAGGCAGUUGCAUGAGUGCAGGCGAUUUGCGAAUUAAUACUGGCAUGGGCCUUUCUGGAAAGCUCUAGCCAGCUGACUGCAGAGUAAGUGUGGAAACUGUCUUCUCUCGGAAGCAAGCAUGGGGCUGGACUUUAGAUGCCCGAGGAAAGGGAACACAAGAGUAAACUCUUGAGGUGAGUGGACACGGCACCUCUGGGACCACUGUCAACACCAGAGGAGCAUCCCCUGUGCAGGAUACUGUGAGGGACCAUGUCAGCCUUUCCGCCUCCUGUCCCUGGCACAAACUGGGCUCUGUCCCAAAAGGCAGACUAUCUGAAGUGAGGUGAGGGGUCCUAAAGGGACAGCUCAGCCUGGAGGUCCGAGUGAGCAAUCAGAACCAGGCACCCCAGUGCACAAGCCACACCAAAGAGGCAAGAACAGCAAAGAGAAAGACAGCAGGGAACCACGUUGCCCAAAGGGCCACAGUUUGCUUCGAGAAGCCUUCGGACAGGGGUGGGAGGAGGGUCACACUGGAAGCUGACUCCUCAGAACCAGUGGGAAGCUGCCUAGUGUCCUGGUCUUGGCCAAGUCAAGGCAGCUGGUGUCCAUUACAUCGGCUUUGAUUUAUAGUCAAGCCCACAGGCCCUCAGCUCACAACAUUGUGACCUAAGACAGCAGCUUUCUCUUUAGUACCCUGGCACCUGGGUACAGUCACAUGCCUCCAGGUCCUGCUGUCAGUGGUUCUUGGCUGACGCUAGUUCUCAGGGAGUGAGCAGGUGCUGUGUGGGUCCUCCUGAGUCUGCCCAAGGGACACCCCAACCUCUGCCUCGCCCUCAGUGGCUGUCUUGCUGAGUAACUUUUGCUUUCUUUUUAGCAGGAAGAAACCCACAUGGGAAUCCCCAACAAUCACAGUGACUCACCCAUUUCCCAGCCAGUGAGUGAAAUGAGUCCCCAGGAUGUCACCCAAUUCUGUACUGGUGGGUGGGGCAGUGAGAGCACCUCCCAUUCUCUUGAUCUGGUCUAAUUCUGGUACACACUCUACAGACCAGCCCCUCUCAUCCCCUCCCCCAAAGAGUGCACAUAAAAUCUCCAAGUAGAAAAGUCUAAAGUGACAUUUUUGUGGCAGCAGGUGUUGUACUGGUAGGCUAUGGUUAAGGUUGUUAUGGCAACGAUGGUCUCUGGCUCUGUUGCCUUUAAGGUCUGUGGGCACAGUUGCCAAUGAGAUCUUUGGUGGAUGUGGGUGAGGGAAGGUCUGGAGCAUGGAGCACACCUGCAUUUUGCCCUGAGGGAGCAGAUGCUCUCAGCGAAUGAGCUUACGUUCAGGCUAGCUUCUCAGGCUCCUCGGGGCUCUCAGGAAACACCUCCUCCCACUGGUAAAGAAGGCUCCACAGGUGUGGACUCACUACCGUGAAUAAGCCCCAAAGGCUCCAGGAAGCUACGUGACCCAGCAGUUGCCUGAACUUCAGCAGAAGAGGACAACUUUGCUGUCCUAUGGGUGGGAUUCCUGAUUCAGUUAGGGGAAUUCCAACUUCCACAGGAGCAAGGGUGUGCAGUCAAUGUGGUUGGAUCAGCAGUGCCUGCUGCAAGCAGCUCUUGUCCCAGAACAGUUUUCAUAGCUGCAGGAUCUCACUUGGACUCCCUCGGCUCCCAGAAUCCUUGCAAUCUUCAUUAAACUGCUACCAGAGUUAUUAGGGUCAGAGCCUGUUUUGGCAUCCCGAACAAGCCCUGCUCAAUCAUUUGUCCUCAAUAAGCUAAUCAGAGGUGAACUUUACCAGUGAAAAGCAGAAAAGAUCUAUUCAAUGUAUCCAUACUAGAAAGAAAAACAAAGAGAUUCAAUGACACAGCCUUCACCAUAUCUACCUUCCAGCUCCUGGAUGAAGUAAUUAACUUCAAGUAGAGGCUGGAGGUAUGCAUCACUAAGUAGGCUGGGUCAAGGUGUGGUCCUGUCCAUCACUGACCCAUCAUUGUCUGAGCUCGGCUAGCCUGCAAGAUGGCCUGAAGCUGCACAUCUCUUCCCAGGAGACAAGUUUCUUCCUCGGUUGGCCCCAGGCUUCAGCCUUCUUUCUCCUUCUGAGACUCCUGGAGAAUAAUUAAAUUUCCUGGGGUACAUUGUUUCAAGAGACUGGUUGCCAAAGAGAAGAGCAUAAGUAUCUCUUAAAGUCAGUUACAGAAUGAAUGCAGGCAAGACACAGAGGGUAGAGUGCAGAGGUGUCCAUCCUUCCACACUGUGAUAUAACAGCUACAAAUGUUGGGAUGCUAUCCUGGGAUACAUGCUGUGGGUUGGACACCCCUGAUGGUGAGCUCUAAAUACUUUGUGUGUAUAUACAUAUAUGUGUAUGGUGUUGUUUAUAUGUGGUUAUGUGUGUAGCGUGUGU